UACGAAGGGGGCUAGCGUUGUUCGGAAUUACUGGGCGUAAAGCGCACGCAGGCGGCCUAGUUAGUUAGGAGUGAAAGCCCUGGGCUUAACCUGGGAAUUGCUCUUAAUACGGCUAGGCUAGACUUAUGGAGAGGAUAGCGGAAUUCCGAGUGUAGAGGUGAAAUUCGUAGAUAUUCGGAAGAACACCAGUGGCGAAGGCGGCUAUCUGGCCAUUAAGUGACGCUCAUGUGCGAAAGCGUGGGGAGCAAACAGG
rnacentral:rRNA from 1 species